GCCUAACACAUGCAAGUCGAACGGUAGCACAGAGGAGCUUGCUCCUUGGGUGACGAGUGGCGGACGGGUGAGUAAUGUCUGGGAAACUGCCCGAUGGAGGGGGAUAACUACUGGAAACGGUAGCUAAUACCGCAUAACGUCGCAAGACCAAAGAGGGGGACCUUCGGGCCUCUUGCCAUCGGAUGUGCCCAGAUGGGAUUAGCUAGUAGGUGGGGUAACGGCUCACCUAGGCGACGAUCCCUAGCUGGUCUGAGAGGAUGACCAGCCACACUGGAACUGAGACACGGUCCAGACUCCUACGGGAGGCAGCAGUGGGGAAUAUUGCACAAUGGGCGCAAGCCUGAUGCAGCCAUGCCGCGUGUAUGAAGAAGGCCUUCGGGUUGUAAAGUACUUUCAGCGAGGAGGAAGGCGUUGUGGUUAAUAACCGCAACGAUUGACGUUACUCGCAGAAGAAGCACCGGCUAACUCCGUGCCAGCCGCCGCGGUAAAAGGG
rnacentral:rRNA from 1 species